rnacentral:rRNA from 1 species
CGGGACACGUGGUAUCCUGUCUGAAUAUGGGGGGACCAUCCUCCAAGGCUAAAUACUCCUGACUGACCGAUAGUGAACCAGUACCGUGAGGGAAAGGCGAAAAGAACCCCGGCGAGGGGAGUGAAAAAGAACCUGAAACCGUGUACGUACAAGCAGUGGGAGCACAGAGCAAUCUGUGUGACUGCGUACCUUUUGUAUAAUGGGUCAGCGACUUAUAUUCUGUAGCAAGGUUAACCGAAUAGGGGAGCCGAAGGGAAACCGAGUCUUAACUGGGCGUUAAGUUGCAGGGUAUAGACCCGAAACCCGGUGAUCUAGCCAUGGGCAGGUUGAAGGUUGGGUAACACUAACUGGAGGACCGAACCGACUAAUGUUGAAAAAUUAGCGGAUGACUUGUGGCUGGGGGUGAAAGGCCAAUCAAACCGGGAGAUAGCUGGUUCUCCCCGAAAGCUAUUUAGGUAGCGCCUCGUGAAUUCAUCUCCGGGGGUAGAGCACUGUUUCGGCAAGGGGGUCAUCCCGACUUACCAACCCGAUGCAAACUGCGAAUACCGGAGAAUGUUAUCACGGGAGACACACGGCGGGUGCUAACGUCCGUCGUGAAGAGGGAAACAACCCAGACCGCCAGCUAAGGUCCCAAAGUCAUGGUUAAGUGGGAAACGAUGUGGGAAGGCCCAGACAGCCAGGAUGUUGGCUUAGAAGCAGCCAUCAUUUAAAGAAAGCGUAAUAGCUCACUGGUCGAGUCGGCCUGCGCGGAAGAUGUAACGGGGCUAAACCAUGCACCGAAGCUGCGGCAGCGACACUAUGUGUUGUUGGGUAGGGGAGCGUUCUGUAAGCCUGUGAAGGUGUACUGUGAGG